CCGAGUUUACAACUCCCAAACCCCUGUGAACAUACCUUAUGUUGCCUCGGCGGAUCAGCCCGCGCCCCGUAAAACGGGACGGCCCGCCGCAGGAAACCCUAAACUCUGUUUUUAGUGGAACUUCUGAGUAUAAAAACAAAUAAUCA
rnacentral:misc_RNA from 1 species